CCUACGGGUGGCAGCAGUGAGGAAUAUUGGUCAAUGGGCGCGAGCCUGAACCAGCCAAGUAGCGUGAAGGAUGACUGCCCUACGGGUUGUAAACUUCUUUUAUAAAGGAAUAAAGUGAGGCACGUGUGCCUUUUUGUAUGUACUUUAUGAAUAAGGAUCGGCUAACUCCGUGCCAGCAGCCGCGGUAAUACGGAGGAUCCGAGCGUUAUCCGGAUUUAUUGGGUUUAAAGGGAGCGUAGAUGGGUUGUUAAGUCAGUUGUGAAAGUUUGCGGCUCAACCGUAAAAUUGAAAUUGAUACUGGCAGUUAUGAGAACAGUGGAGGUAGGAGAAUUUGGUGGUGGAGCGGGGAA
rnacentral:rRNA from 1 species